rnacentral:miRNA from 1 species
GUUACAUGGUGAAGCCCAGUU